rnacentral:lncRNA from 1 species
CCUAAAUAAUGAAAGAAUUCAAUUUACAAGUCACAGAACAGAGAUAAAUGAAUCGAUAUUUGAAGGUGUUUAGCCUGAGGAGAAUAAAAAUAAAAGAAGGCAAGUUAUGAGAAAUUUUUAAUUAUUUUUCCACUUUAAGAACAAGAAGAAGAAAAUGUUUUCUGGAAUCGAUUGUCUUUUUCCAGGACUGCUACCAGAUCAAAUUAAUCAUUGUGGGCCUCAUGAACAGUUACAAAAUAUAUACAAGAAGAUGGAUCUCGUUACCUUGGUAACUCCAUAUUGAAUCCAAAACCGAGCCAUGGCUCUCUCGUAAGGAUCUGUCGGUAGCAGUGGAUUCUCCGGCCAUGUUUCCUCGAUGUAUUCAAGGAUAACAAGAGACUCCGCAAUCGGCUUGCCACCAUGGACGAGUACAGGGAUUUUCUUGUAAACUGGGUUAUACUUCAAUAGCAGUUCACUUUUAUUGGUGAGGUCUUCUUCAAUAUACUCAAACUCCACGCCCUUUAGUUUCAGAGCCCAUAUAACUCUGUAACUAAAAGGGCUAGCCCAGAAACCAUGCAGCUUCACAUCUGCCAUCGUUGCAAUGAGAUCAGUAUGCAAGGUCUGCUGCUGUGCCCAGUCUUCUUAUAGCGACUUUUGGCUUGGGCAAUAAGUUUUGGAUGCAAGAAACAUUUUUUUAUAUUGCAAGUAUGGACUUGACUUGGUCCAUAACUUUGACUCCGAUUUUUUUUUUAUUUAACUUGGACAUCGUAAUUUGCAAGUAAUCCAUACGAUGAACUUGUUUUUUUUUUUUAUUGGUCACUGUGUGCAGUUUAUUACUUUAUUUUCCUUGAAGAAACACUGGCUACCCUGUAAGUUACAUUCUUUGAACGUGUUCAUGCCUUGCCUUUGGAUUAUAUCAUGUUUAUUUCUGUGUUUUAAAAGUAUUUUAAUAAAAAAUUAAAUUUUUUUUAUUUUUUUAUUAAUUUUAAAUUAAUAUGUUUUCAGUGUUUUUAAAUUAUUUUGAUGUACUGAUAUCAAAAAUAAUUUUUAAAAAAUCAAAAAAAUCAUUAACAUAUAUUUUGGCUUGAAAAACAACUACAACCACACUCGGUAUUGAACUUUGAAGAGGACCUAUUUGUUUCUGUGUUUUAAAAGCGUUUUUGAAAAAAUUUGAAUUUUUUUUAUUUUUUUAUUAACUUCAAAUUAAUAUGUUUUUAGUGUUUUCAAAUCAUGUUGAUGUGCUGAUGUCAAAAAUGAUUUUUAAAAAAUAAAAAAAAUCAUUAACAUGUAUUUUAAUACGAAAAAUUAUUUAAAAAACAACUGCAACCAUAUUGUCAAACAAGCUCGAAACCUCAGUGCCCAUCUCCAAGACCUGACAUGCCUACUAAUAUCACGAUGUUAUUGAAUUAAGAAAAGCAGAAAUAAACUAUCCCUGAUUCGACAACCUUUUUCUUUUGUUAAUCUCUGCCAAAUAAUCCUUCGACUAUCUGAAUUCAUCACUAAUUAACUACAAACUAAAAGUAUCAACUUUUUAAUAUUGAUGGUUGUAAUUUAACUUGUAAAAUUUUGGAUUUAUUUUUUUAAAGUUUAUUGUUAUAAAUUUUGAGAUUACUAGAAAUUUAUCUUAUUAAUUUUAGAGUCUCUUGAGAUUAGUUGAGACGCUCGUGGAAUAUGUUUGACAGUGUGAUAACGAUUGCUUUUCAAAUAAUUUUUCGUGCCAAAAUACAUGUCAAUGAUUUUUUUUAUUUUUAAAAAAUUCUUUUUUAUAUCAGCACAUCAAAACAAUCCAAAAUAUACAAAUCAUAUUAAAUUUUAGCAAAAAAAAAUUUAAUUUUUUAAACUGACUCAAAUACUCACGAUUAACAAUAUAUAUAUAUAUAUAUAUCAUCUUUCUAAUAUGCUGAAAUUAUUUUGCACUUCUUUAUAUUUAUUGGAAUUGAAGAAGUGUAUUUUUAAAUAUUACAUUUAUUUUAAUUUUCCCAUGUUUUUUAGAUAUUAGAUGACCAAUCUUUUAAAUUUAAAGACAAUAAGGCACCUAACUUUAUUUUUCUCUUUUCUAGUUGUUUUCUAUUGAGAGGAGGAGAGAGAAAGAGCUGUCGAAUUCUAGCUUAGAUAGAGAAAGUUGUCGCCGUGAAAGAUUCUAAUAACCAAAACGAUUGAUUUUUAGGUCAAAAUAUUUCAUAUAAUGAAAGGGUUAUGUUUAGGUGUUUGUUUACCUUGAAAAAUUCUCAAACAACAAAUUUAAGCUCAUGAAGAAUUUUAUUUUCUUGUGUUUUUAGGUUUUGUGGUGGUUUACUGGGUUUCUGGAGAUCAUGAAUUGGUUUAAUAAGAUUUCUAGAUUGUUUUCAAUAUGUUUUGAGUCAAAUAAAGUUGAAAAGGAGAUUUUGGAUGGAAAAAAAAAUAGGACCUCGUUUUUCUAGCUACCAUAGUGGCCGGACUAUAUGUUUCACAGGUGACACGUCUUUAUAUAUAUAUAAUUGGAGCGAACAACACGUUGUUUGCCUAGUUAAACUUUUUUUAAAAAAUAAAAGCCUGUGUGUGGGCCGUUGCUUUAUUAGGCCAUACACUAGGCCUGACCUUGUUCUUUUUUAAAAGAAAAUUUAGUUUUUUAAAAAAUAAUAAAUUAUUUGUGUAUAUUUUUUCAAAUAAAUUUUGGGUUUAUGUUUUAAAAAGAUUGUGACUAUUUUAAAAUGAUAUUGGGCGUGCUUAAUUUUUAGAGAGAUGAGUAUGAUUCAUCCAUGAUUUUUUCUUAAUUUUAUAUAAAUUAAUUUUUUUUUUAAUAUGAUUUUUUUAUAAGAUUUUUUUGUAUAUGUAGCCUUGCAUUGUUUUUUUAAUUAUUAUUCAGUAAAAUUUAUGUGUGUGUCGAUUUCUAUUAUAAAAUUUAUGUGUUUUUCUUUUACAAAUUUAUUUUGAUAAAGGAAUUCAUUAAAUAUAAUCAAGUAAAUUACUCUUAUUGCAAUGUUGGAUAUCUUGAUUUUUAUUUUUAGCUUGGUUUUCUCAAUUUUAUUUUUGUCAAUUGUUAAUGAUUUUUUUUCAUUGCUUUACAUAAUAGUUACUGGAUUGUUUAAUUUGAUGUAUGCUUAGGUUUUUUGAUUUACACCUAGGAGUUUUUUUAGUAUAAAAAAAACGUUGAAGAACUCUGUAUAAAUUUUAUUUAUGUUUUGAUGUUCAAGAUUUGAUGUUUAUUCUUAUGAUUUUUAAUUUUUUUUUCUUUGAAUUUUUUAUGGAAGUUUGUUGUUUUUAGUUUCAUUAUUCAAUCCAAUUUGAUAAUAUAUUAUUUUUUUAUGUUUUUUUUUUAUGUUUUUACUUUUGAUUUUUGUUCUUUUAUUAAUGUUUUUAUUCUCUUCAAUUUAACUCUCAAAACUAAAAUCCAUUGUUGCCUUUUGAUUUAUUUUUAUUGUAAUUUUAAAACUUAAUGUUUUUAUUUUGGAUUUUUUGUGUUUUUUUUUUUGUGAUUUUAACUCUCAUGAUUUUUUCAUAUAUAGUUUUUUAGGUUUUAUAACCCUGGUCAUAGUUUAAAAAGUUAGCAGUAAUUAACUUUUUUUUAUCUUAUUUGUUUAUAUUCAUAUAUUUUUUUUAUUUCUAUGAAAUUAUCAUAUUCUCAUUUAAUUUUUAUUUUGUUAACAAAUAAAAUCAUUGAGAUGUUUUUGAAAUAUUGUGAAGAUGUAUUUUCAUAAUAUUGAUAAUUGUUUAUCUUUUGUAUUGAAUCGUUAUUUUUUUUAUUUUAUUUGUUGUCGAUAUCUUAUUUUUUAAGAAUAUUAUUAAAUUAAAAAAAUUUAUUAAACUUACUCAAGCCAAUUACUUAAAUAUUAUAUUUGUUUUUGUUUUUGUUUAUUUUAUUUUUUUCAUAUUUUUUACGCCAAAACAAAAUUGACUGCGGCUUUAGUUUUGGUGUCCAGAUAACCCGCUGGCUGAAUGGGCUUGGACUCAACCCGAAAAACUUCACAUCUACCAUACUGAUUACUGAACUGUGACUCGUGUUCAGCAAAGGAGGGUUUUAUAUUAUUCAUUGCCGACUUUUCUUUUCCUUUUCUCUUUUUAUUGCAGACUUCUCUUCUUGGCUGUCCGAAUAAAUGGAAAAUUAGAAGAGGAACAGUCAAAGUUGGAAAGGAGGGUUUUUUUCUGCCCCCUCUUAUCCAUGGCCGCCUCUGUUCAAGCUGAGAUUGCCCUUGGAAAUCCUUAACUAAGAUGCACAAAUUGGAAAUCUCAAUUCCAAGCUCUACGCACUGGUCUUUCCAACAGACAAGGAGAAAUUGAAAAUCAAAUAACAAAGAUCACAAGUUUUAUGGAUCACCAAAAUGAUCUAACAUCACUGGAUAUUCUAAGCUUGCAGUCUGAUUAAAAUUUAUUGACUCAGGUCUUGCUCAGAUAACCCUGGUUAGGAGAAAAAUCCAUCCAGCGUUCUCUUGGUCCAUUCAUGGAUAACACAUUGAUCUAGACUUCCAGAGAUCAUGGCCUCCAUCGAUGAGUCUAAGAGAAACACCUGCCUUGAGCGAGCUCUUAUUAAAUUAAAUAAUUACUAUAAUGUCAAGCAAGCUCUUAUUAUUAUUUUUUAAUAAAUACUUAAAACGAGUUCUGGGCUUUUAAAAAAACUUGGUCUCUGCUGAUGUGGUUAGUUCAUGAUCGAUGAAUCAUUAGGUUGACUUCCCGAGCUGUUCUGAUAAAAUUGAUUAAGGACAAAAAAGUAAAUGGAGAUGAAUAUAAAAGAAAUACAACAUUGUAGCUGCAUCAACCAUUAUGGAGUCUUACAGUAGAAAAACAAGCUCAACUACAAGAGAAAAACCAUCCAUGGAAACGAAAAGGUGAGACAUACAUGGAAUAUUUCGCAUCCAAAAGCAUAAUAUAGGUUACUUGUGUUAGCAUUAUGGAGACAAGCAAGCCCCACCAUGUGCAAGUGGAAUUCUAGUCUCCCACUUAGCACAUGGUGGAGGACACCCCCCACUCCCACAUUUGUAUAUCUAUGUGUGUGCUGUGUAUUGUAGCUUGUGAACUGAAGCUGCGAGAGAAACACAGAGAGAGUUGUGUGAAACACAGAGAGAAGAGAGAGCUUGAGUGUAGAGUUGAGUUGAGAACAUUCUCCUCCUCUUGUUGUUGUAUUAUUUCUUUGUAAGCUUGAUUAAUACAACUAGUAGCUCCGUGGAGUAGGCAAGUUGCCGAACCACGUAAAUUAUGCGUGUUUGAGUUUUGGAUAUAACCCAACAACUAGUAUCAGAGCUUGUUCUUGACAAAGAGGGUGUUUGAUCCAAACUCAAAAAUCAAAGUUCUCAAAACGUGUUUUUGAACAUACCAUCGUGUAGAGGACAACCGGACGAAUCCACUGUUGAAAACCCGGCGAAGAACCGACGUCCUGCAUGCCCGCACGCGCCAACACGCGCCGACGCUAGCACUGCCCACGCGCACCAAAGCGCCGUACGCGCGCCACGUUCCUUCUUCGCCCGGUUUCUGCAAAACGGGUCGGGUCUGACCCGCCACGUCAGCAAAGUCAGACGGUCAGCGUCCACGUCAUCUGCCACGUCAUCUACCACGUCAUCCUAUCUGGGGUUUGAUCCAGUGCACCGCAGACGGUAAUCGUCUGACACGUGGCUACAUCAUCACCGUUGUGGGGUUUUAAUCUGGUGUGACGCAGGAACUAAUCAUCUGACACGUGGCUGAAUCAAGACCGUUUCUGAGUUUUGAUCUGGUGCGACUCAGGCUCUAAUCUUGUGACACGUGGCUGAAUCUACACCGUUACUGAGUUCUGAUCAGGUGUGACGCAGGCUCUAAUCUGCGGACACGUGGCUUAAUCUGCACCGUUAGUGAGUUUUGAUCCGGUGUGACGCAGGCUGUAAUCUACUGACACGUGUCUUCAUCAGAACCGUUAUUGAGUUUUUAUCCGGUGUGACGCAGGCGGUACUCUGUCUGACACGCGGCUGCAUCUGAACCGUCCGUUAAUCCAAAACUUUGAUUGCUAAAAUCUGAGCCAUCCGAAGUCCGAUUGGGGUGAUCUCAGUGUCAUUUCCAAGGUUUUUGGCCGUUCGGACACAUCUGUAAGGUCAGAUUUGGAAAUUCGAAUCGGAGAAUAGUAAAAAUGGCAGAUGAAAUAAAGGCUGCUGGAAUUGAAAAAUUUGACGGAACAGAUUUUGGAUACUGGAAAAUGCAAAUUGAGAUUAUUUAUAUGGGAAGAAACUUCAUCUUCCCUUAUUGGGAAGCAAACCAGAAAAGAUGGAAGAAGAAGAAUGGCAACUUCUUGAUAGACAAGUUCUGGGCAUUAUCCGGCUAUCGUUAUCAAGAAGAGUUGCUCACAAUGUUACGAAAGAAAAAUCCACUGCAAAAUUGAUGGAAGCCUUGUCUGGGAUGUAUGAGAAGCCAUCAGCAAAUAAUAAAGUGCACCUGAUGAAAAAGUUGUUCAACUUGAAGAUGGUCGAAAACGCUUCUGUGACACAACACCUCAACAACUUUAAUACCAUCACAAAUCAAUUAUCAUCUGUUGCGAUUGAGUUUGAUGAUGAGAUUCGUGCACUCAUCUUGCUAGCUUCACUUCCAAGCAGUUGGGAAGGCAUGAGGACAGCCGUGAGCAAUUCAGCUGGAAAAUCCAAACUGAAGUAUGAUGACAUUCGAGACUUGAUUUUGGCUGAAGAAGUGCGAAGGAAAGACUCGGGUGAAAGUUCAAGCUCAGGAUCAGCUCUCAACAUCAACACUCGAGGGAGGAGACACGAUAGAGGCUCAUCCAGAGGCAGAUCAAAAUCCAGAUACAGAAGUAAAAGCAAGUUUGGAUCCAGAAAGCAGGUUGAAUGUUGGAAUUGUGGCAAACCUGGUCAUUUCAGUAGGAAUUGCACAAAACCGAAGAAACCUGAAGCUGACUCUGCAAACGCUACCACAGAUGAGGUACAAGAUGCUUUAAUUCUUGCUGCAAAGUCAAAUUGAUGAGUGGAUUCUUGAUUCUGGUGCUUCAUUCCACUGUACGCCACACAAUGAAAUGCUGCAAAAUUAUGUUGGAGGAGAUCAUGGUGUAGUCUAUCUGGCCGAUGGAACACCACUGAAUAUUGUGGGUAUAGGAGAUGUGCAAAUCAAGACAAUGAAUGGAUCUAUAUGGACCUUGCAGAAUGUAAGGCAUGUUCCUGAAUUAAAGAAGAAGUUGAUCUCUGUCGGACAACUUGAUGAUAGUGGUCAUUCAAUACUUUUUGCUGGAGGAAUGUGGAAAGUAUCAAAGGGAGCAAUGGUUUUAGCUCGUGGAAAGAAAACCGGCACCCUGUAUAUGACCACAAGAUUUGCAGACAUCAUUGCCUCAACUGAAGCAGAAAAUCAAGCACAUCUAUGGCAUUGUAGACUUGGCCAUAUGAGUCAAAAGGGGAUGAAGAUACUUCAGUCGAAGGGAAAGCUGCCAGAGUUAAAAAAUGUCGAUCUAGACAUUUGUGAAAGCUGUGUUCUUGGAAAACAGAAGAAGGUCAGUUUCUUGAAGGUUGGCAGGACCUUAAGACCAAGCAAGCUAGAACUGGUACACACAGAUUUAUGGGGACCGUCUCCAGUAGCAUCUCUUGGAGGUUCUCGGUAUUAUGUGACUUUUAUUGAUGAUUUCAGCAGGAAGGUAUGGGUUUACUUUCUGAAAAAUAAAUCUGAUGUGUUUGAAACAUUCAAGAAAUGGAAGGCUAUGGUUGAGACUGAAUCAGGUCUAAAGUUGAAAUGCUUGAGAUCUGAUAAUGGAGGAGAAUACAUUGAUGGAGGUUUCAAGGAGUAUUGUGCUGUCAAUGGUAUCAGAAUGGAAAAGACCGUUCCAGGCACACCGCAACAGAAUGGCGUUGCUGAACGGAUGAACAGGACCAUCAAUGAACGAGCUAGAAGCAUGAGGUUGCAUUCUGGGUUACCUCAAACAUUCUGGGCUGACGCAGUUCAUACCGCAGUUUACUUGAUCAACCGUGGACCAUCAGUUCCUUUGGAAUUCAGACUGCCCGAGGAAGUAUGGAGAGGAAAAGAGGUACAACUCUCUCAUUUGAAGGUCUUUGGGUGUGUUUCCUAUGUUCACAUAGAUUCUGAUGCUCGCAACAAGUUAGAGCCAAAUCCAAGAAAUGUUUCUUCAUUGGCUAUGGAGAUGAAGAAUUUGGAUUUCGGUUCUGGGAUGAUCAGAAUAGAAAGAUUAUCAGAAGCAGGAACGUGAUCUUCAAUGAGAAAGUUAUGUACAAAGACAGAUCAAGUGGAGAAACAGAGAUGGCUGAUUCAGAUACAAGUCCACAAAGAUCUGAAUUCAUAAGAUUAGAAGGGCUUCCCGAUGUUACUAAGCAGAACAACAAUCAAGAGUCUUUACAAGAAGAUUCAAGCACAUUUGUGCCCACUUCCACACAAGAAGAUGCGGAGCAACUUGAACCAGCUGUUCGCAGGUCUUCGAGGACGAUAAAGCCCCCGCAACGGUUCACACUUUUACUGAAUUAUAUUUUGCUGACAGAUGGUGGUGAACCGUUAUCUUAUGAAGAAUCCUUACAAGAUGGAAACUCAAGCAAGUGGGAGUUAGCCAUGAAGGAUGAGAUGAGUUCGUUGCUGAAGAACAAGACUUGGGAGCUAACAACAUUACCUGAAGGAAAGAAGGCCUUGCAAAAUAAGUGGGUCUACAGAGUGAAGACUGAGCAUGACGGAAGCAAACGGUUCAAGGCAAGACUUGUUGUCAAAGGGUUUCAACAGAAGAAAGGCAUUGACUACUCUGAGAUUUUUUCUCCAGUUGUGAAGCUCACAACAAUCAGAGUUGUUCUGGGGAUAGUAGCUGCAGAAAAUUUACAUCUUGAACAGUUAGAUGUAAAAACAGCAUUCCUUCAUGGUGACUUGGAGGAAGAUAUUUACAUGCAACAGCCAGAGGGGUUUGCAAUGCAAGGAAAGGAGAAUCAAGUCUGCAAGCUACAGAAAAGCCUAUACGGUUUGAAGCAAGCUCCAAGACAGUGGUACAAGAAGUUUGACAACUUCAUGUGCAGUUCCGGGUAUACAAGAUGCCAAGCUGAUCAUUGUUGCUAUGUCAAACAUUUUGACAACUCCUACAUCAUUCUACUAUUAUAUGUAGAUGAUAUGUUGAUUGCAGGAUCCAGCAUUGAGGAGAUUGAUAAGCUGAAACAGCAGUUGUCGAAACAGUUUGAAAUGAAGGAUCUGGGAGCUGCUAAACAAAUACUUGGCAUGAGAAUCAUCAGAGAUAAAGACAAAGGCAUACUAAAGCUCUCACAAACAGAGUAUGUCAAGAAGGUUCUCAGCAGGUUUAGUAUGGAUAAUGCUAAACCAGUAAGUACACCACUGGGGAAUCAUUUCAAGCUCAGCAAAGAUCAGUCACCAAAAACUGAGCUAGAAAGUGGAUACAUGGAUAAGAUUCCAUACGCCUCAGCUAUCGGCUCUUUGAUGUAUGCUAUGGUCUGUACCAGACCAGACAUUGCCCAUGCAGUGGGAGUUGUAAGCCGAUAUAUGAGCAAUCCUGGAAAGCAGCAUUGGGAGGCGGUGAAAUGGAUCAUGAGGUACUUAAAAGGUUCAUCGGAAACUUGUCUCAGUUUCACAGCUGGUGGUUUGAAACUUGAAGGUUUUGUAGAUGCUGAUCUAGCAGGAGAUGUUGAUAGCAGAAAGAGCACUACAGGAUAUGUUUAUACUCUAGGAGGUACUGCUGUUUCCUGGAGUUCUACCUUGCAAAAGAUCGUUGCUCUUUCAACAACAGAAGCUGAAUAUGUUGCAGUCUCAGAAUCUGCAAAAGAGAUAGUAUGGUUGCAGAGUUUCUUGAAAGAAUUGGGCAAGUUGAAUGGGAAAGGUACUUUGUAUAGCGACAGUCAGAGUGCAAUCUUCCUUGCCAAGAAUCCAGCAUUUCACUCCAGGACGAAGCAUAUUCAGAUCAAAUAUCACUUCAUCCGACAACUGCUGGACGACGAGCAACUAAUGCUAGAAAAGAUCUGUGGAAGCAAGAAUCCAGCUGACAUGUUAACCAAAGGAGUUACACUUGAGAAACUGAAGUUGUGCAAAACUUCAGUUGGUCUUCAAGGAUAAAAAAAGGGAUUUCAUUGUUUGUCUCCAAGUGGGAGAUUGUUAGCAUUAUGGAGACAAGCAAGCCCCACCAUGUGCAAGUGGAAUUCUAGUCUCCCACUUAGCACAUGGUGGAGGACACCCCCCACUCCCACAUUUGUAUAUCUAUGUGUGUGCUGUGUAUUGUAGCUUGUGAACUGAAGCUGCGAGAGAAACACAGAGAGAGUUGUGUGAAACACAGAGAGAAGAGAGAGCUUGAGUGUAGAGUUGAGAUGAGAACAUUCUCCUCCUCUUGUUGUUGUAUUAUUUCUUUGUAAGCUUGAUUAAUACAACUAGUAGCUCCGUGGAGUAGGCAAGUUGCCGAACCACGUAAAUUGUGCGUGUUUGAGUUCUGGAUAUAACCCAACAACUUGUUCAUCAUUUUCUCCCUGACACUUUUCAAAUAGAGGAGCAUCUUAUCAUUGUCAGGAAUGUUUUCUUUAAUCAGAGGAACUUCAAUGAAAUUCUGGGCCCAAGCAUGCAAUCGAGGCAGUGUGCUUGGUUCCAGAACUUUCACACCCGCUAUAUCUUCAAUGGCUGCAAGCCAAUAAGCGAAGAGUCCAUAUGAGAUGUCAACUAGAUUUAUGCUGUCACCGCCAAAAAACUUCUUGUCCCCGAGACCUUGCUCUUCUAAGACUCUCAACCCUUCCGCCACUUCUUUCACUGCCUUCUCUAGCUCCUCUCCACUAGCUCGGAAAAGGGGAACUAAGGCAGCACUCUAAAUAAUGAAAGAAUUCAAUUUACUUGUCACAGAACAGAGAUAAAUGAAUAGAUAUUUGAAGGUGUUUAGCCUGAGGAGAGUAAAAAUAAAAGAAGGCAAGUUGUGAGAAAUUUUUAAUUAUUAUUCCACUGUAAGAACAAGAAGAAGAAAAUGUUUUUUGGAAUCGAUUGUUUUUUUCCAGGACUGCUACCAGAUCAAAUUAAAAAUUGUGGGCCUCAUGAACAGUUACAAAAUAUAUACAAGAAGAUGGAUCUCGUUACCUUGGUAACUCCAUAUUGAAUCCAAAACCGAGCCAGGGCUCUCUCGUAAGGAUCUGUCGGUAGCAGUGGAUUCUCCGGCCAUGUUUGCUCGAUGUAUUCAAGGAUAACAAGAGACUCCGCAAUCGGCUUGCCACCAUGGACGAGCACAGGGAUUUUCUUGUAAACUGGGUUAUACUUCAAUAGCAGUUCACUUUUAUUGGUGAGGUCUUCUUCAAUAUACUCAAACUCCACGCCCUUUAGUUUCAGAGCCCAUAUAACUCUGUAACUAAAAGCGCUAGCCCAGAAACCAUGCAGCUUCACAUCUGCCAUCGUUGCAAUGAGAUCAGUAUGCAAGGUCUACUGCUGUGCCGAGUCAUCUUAUAGCGACUCUUGGCUUGGGCAAUAAGUUUUGGAUGCAAGAAACUUUUUUUUAUAAAUGAUUGAUGACUUAAUAUUUUAAUUCUCCCAUAUGUUUUUUUAGAUAUUAGGUGAAUAAUUUUUUAUAUUAAAAGAUAAUAUAUUUUGGUACCUAACUUUAUUUUUAUUUUUUUUAGUUGUUUUCUAUUAAGAAGAGAGAGAAAGAGUCAUUGAAUUUCAACUUAGACAAAAAAUAUUAUCACUAGAAAGAUUCUACAACCAAAACAAUUAAUUUUUAUAUUAAAAUAUUUCAUAUAAUCAGGGGAUUAUGUUUAGGGGUUUGUGUUGCCUUGAAAACACCUCAAACAACAAAUUUAAGCCCAUGAAAAAUUCUAUUUUCUAGUGUUUUUGGGUUUGUGGUGGUUUAUUGGGUUUAUGGAGAUUAUGAAUUGGUUUAAUAAGGUUUUUAAAGUGUUUUCAAUACGUUUUAAGUCAAAAUAGGUUCAAAAUGAGAUUUUGGAUGAAUAAACAAAAGACCUAAUUAUGGUUUAAUAAGUUUUAUUGGGUUUCACAAUCUUUUUAAAAAAAAAAAUUAGUUUUUUAAAAAAUAAUACAUUAUUCGUGUAUAUUUUUUCAAAUAAAUUUUGGGUUUAUAUUGUAAAAAGAUUAUGAUUAUUUUAAAAUGAUAUUGGGUGUUUUUUAUUUUUAGAGAGGCGAGUGUGAUUUAUCUGUGAUUUUUUCUAAAUUUUAUAUAGAUUAAGUUUUUUUUUAAUAUGAUUUUAAAAAAAAAAAAUUAUAUGUGUAACUUUGCAUUGUUUUUUUAAUUAUUGUUCAGUAAAUUUUAUGUGUGUGUCAAUUUCUAUUAUAAAUUUUAUGUGUUUUUCUUUUACAAAUUUAUUUUGAUAAAUGAAUUCAUUAGAUAUAAUUAAGUAAAUUACUUUAAUUGUAAUUUUAGAUAUCUUGAUUUUUAUUUUUAGCUUAGUUUUCUCAAAUUCAUUUUUAUCCAUUGUUGAUGAUUUUUUCCCAUUACUUUACACAAUAGUUAUUGGAUUGUUUAAUUAGAUGCGUGCAUAAAUUAUUUGAUUUAUAUCUAAGAGUUUUUUUUAGUAUAAUAAAACACAUUGAAGAACUUUGUAUAUUCAAUUUUAUUUAUGUUUUGAUGUUAAAGAUUUGAUAUUUAUUCUUAUAAUUUUUAAUUUGUUUCUUUGAAUUUUUUAUGAAAGUUUCAUUAUUCAAUUCAAGUUUAUAAUGUAUUGUUUUUUUUUUUUUUAUCUUUUAUCUUUUUUUUUCUUUUAUUAAUGUUUUUAUUCUCUUUAAUUUAGCUCUCAAAACUAAAAUUCGUUGUUGCCUUUUGAUUUAUUUUUAUUGCAAUUUUAACACUCAUUGUUUUUAUUUUGGAUUUUUAUGUUGUUUUUUUUUUUAAUGAUUUUAACUCUCAUGAUUUUUUCAAGUAUAAUGUUUUCGGUUUUAUAACCCGGAUCAUGGUCUAAAAAGUUAGAAAUAAUUAACUUUUUUAUCUUAUUUUUUAUAUUCAUAUUUUUUUUCUUUCUAUAAAAUUAUCAUAUUCUCAUUUAAUUUUUAUUUUGUUAACAAAUAAAAUCAUUAAGAUGUUUUUAGAAAAUUGUGAAGAUAUAUUUUUAUAAUAUUAGUAAGUGUUUAUCUUUUGCAUUAAAUCGUUAUUUUUUUUGUCUUAUUUGUCGUCGAUAUCUUUUUUUUUGACAAUAUUAUUAAAUUAACAGAGUUUAUUAGUCAAUUAUUUUAAUAUUAUAAAAUGUGUUGAAAGGAAAUGAUUUUAGAUAUAACCAUAAAAUUAUAAUUAUAAAGUUUAGAAGUCGCGAGCCACAAUUAUGAAUAUUUUUAAAAUUUAUUGAUGCGCGAGAGUCUGAGUAAAAAAAUUUAUUGUGUAAAAAGAAGAUACAUCACCAUAACAUAUCAUACUUAAAAUAAGUUAUAUUGUUGUUUGAUAAUUUUUUCCAGGUAAAAUUUUUAUUUAUUGGUUUCAUCCAAGCAAAAAUCUCUUUAAACAACUAUCGUUACCACAUAAUACGGACGUUCAUUGUUUUUGUUAAAUUAUACACUCCUCCCCUGUAAAACAGAUUGAUUGAACCUUGAGUGAAUUUGGAAAUAGCUCUAAUCUCAGGAGUCAGGAUUACUGUCAGUGAAUGUUGAUGUAAACCAGAUGAACCCUUAUUAUGGUACUUAAUUUGGCUAAAUGUUUAUAUGAAAUUCACAUACAAAUUCAUGAGCACUGUUAUUUUAUUCUGGGUGUCCCAUUCACAACAGAUCCCUUCCUGUCCAACUAGAGGUACGUGCAAGCUGACCCGAACAUCCACAUUGAUAAAAAAAAAAAUUGUCCUUCUGGUUUUUCCGGUGACCUUUCUUGGCUGUCAAGAGGCGUGGCAAAGAAGAUUAGCAUCGAUGCCGUCAUGCAUGGCGUAUAUCAAAACAGCAACGUCCAGGAGAUGAUAUGUAUGGUCAACAUUAUUAACAUUAAUAAUGCUUAUUUAACCCAGAAAAACAUGAAGUAAAUCGCAAACCGUGAGAAAUGGCUGAGAAACUUCUACAGAAAAAGAAAGAACAUGCAUCGCAUUAAUUAUUGCAUUUCUAAUCUCCACAGUCAAGUCUUACUUCGACAGAGAAUUGAAGUGAAUAUGAUUAUGUAAACAAAUAUAUCAAUAAUGGAGGAAGAAAAACUCCUUUUUGAGUUAUAUCCCUUUCAUUAACUAAAUUAUUUUGAAUUUGCUGACCCAUCACACAAAAGCAAAGGCUAAAGAAUAUUGAUGGCGGAAGUCUGUUCAAUUGUAUUAUUUAGUUAUCAGACUUUCAUGAUACGGAUCCUGAGUUUAACGGGUUAACAUGGUUUGACGAGUUAACCUGAAUUUUUUUUUCUUUUUAAUUAAUUUUUUUCGUUUAGUUCAGUUUGUUAAUAAUCACUUUUUUUUUUUAGUUACCAGACAUUCAUAACACGGAUCCGGGGUUUUACGAGUUAACUUGGUUUGACGAGUUAACCUGUAAGUUUUUUUUUUUUGCUUUUUUUUCUUUUAAAUUAAUUUUUUUUUAAUUUAAAUUGUUGAUAUUAAAUUUUUUUUAUUUAGUUAUCAAACUUUCAUGACACGGAUUCCGGGUUUGACAGGUUAACAUCAUAGUUUUGAAACCCGAUCCGGUCAUUGACCCGGUCGACCUUCUGGGUCACGGGUCAGGUGGGUUGACCCGGGUUAACCCAAAAAAACCUAUAUAUAUAUAAAAAAAAACAUAACUAAUUACAAUACAACACUUACUUAAACCAAAUUUAAAUUAUAAACCAACAACAUAAAUUUAAUUCAAUAUCCAAAAUACAAACCAAAUAUAAAUUAUAAAAUAUUUAAAACAAAACAUCCAACCACAUAAAUUCCAACAACAUAAAUUCUAAAAUAUUUAAAACAAAAUAUCAAAAUUUAAAACAACAACACAUUCACUUAUGUUGAAUUAACACAUUAAGUUAUUCUGUCUCCAUGGAAGAAAAAUUUGGAUCAAAUGUCGAUGGAAUGGAGCCAAUCUCGUCAACACCUAAUAAAUCAUCAGCAUGCUCCUUUGAAACUUCAUCGUCACAAUCAUCUUCAAUAUCAUUAACAUUUAUGACAUCUACAUUUCAAACACAAUUAAGAAAUAAAUAUUAUGUGUUAAACAAAACUUUAUUUUAAAUAAUAUUUAUCACUAAAUAAUAAUCAUUAAUUACCAUCAUCUAAAGUAUCUUGUAUGGUCAUAGUUGAUAGAGCUUGGUGAAAACUCUCUACUUCUUCCGUUGUCAAGAUUGAUGGGUCAUCUUCGACUACCCAAUUUUCAAUGUCAAAAUUGUCUCAACAUUAAUUGGAUCAUAAUUUCAUCCUUUCCAAUAAUUCCUAUAUAUUAAAAGUGAAGGUAAACACAAUAUAAGUAUUAAUAAUGCUACUAAACAAGAUAAAAUAAUAUUUAAGGAAUUAGAGAAAAGAAAAAUACUUUUGUUUCAAUCUUAGAUUGCAGUGGACGUAAACAAGGUCAUUAAGCCUUUGGUGCUCCAAUCUAUUUCUCUUCUUGGAAUGAAUAUGUUCAAACAUACUCCAAUUUCUCUCACAUCCCGAAGAACUACAAGUUUGACUUAACACUCGUAUAGCCAAUUGUUGUAGAUUUGGAGCGCUGGUUCCAUAUGUCAUCCACCAUUCAUCUAUACAAAAAAAUAAUAAGUAAAAGUGUAAGACUGUCAAAUAAUAUUUUUAAAUAUAAAAAUUAUAUACCUGGAGGCAUAAGGGUGCGAUUAUUUAUUGCGGACGCUUGACCAAAGUCAUGUUCAACAUUCCUAAAAAACUUCAUCUCACUUGUAAUCUUACUUUGCAAUGGUAGAUUUCCAUGUGCAUACUUCUCAAGAACAUCUAGAAGUCCAGAAAUGGUGCUCAUAUGUUUAUCCAUUAUAUUUGCAUCAUAUUGAAAUCGAGGAUUCAACCAAAAUGCUGCUGUAUAAAGAUUUUUAUAAAGUUGUCCACCCCACCGAUUAUUGAUAAUGUUUAUGAAAGGUUUCACUCUAGCCUUUCUUUUUUGAAAUCUCCUCAUCAUUUCUUCUUUUGCAUGAUUAAUAGCAUCAUAUAAAUAUUCCAUCGAAGGUUUAUCAUCACCAUCAACCAUUCGUAGAACUCAAAUUAAAGGUUCACUCAUUCGCACAAUUAUUGCACAUUCUUCCCAAAACAAAGAGUCUAGCACACUUCAACAAACUUUUUUCCUUUGAUAUCUUUAGCAUAAGCAGAUGAGACCCAUUCCCUAGAUGUCACCAUAGCUCUCAACUCAUCUUUAUGAGCUAAAAUGCUUUGCAAUGCAAUGAAAUUGGUGGCAAAACGAGUAGGAGCUGGACGAAGUAUUUCUUUUCCUCCAGUGAACUUCCUCAUCAAAUACAAUGGAUAACAAUGAUUAUAAAUGUACUUUGUGAUACCAGAAGCAUGCUCAACAACAAACAAACUGACUGCAAUUUACCAAUGUCCUGGAGUAUGAGGUUGAUGCAAUGAGCAGCACAAGGAGACCAAAAUAUUGAAGGAAAUUCUUCCAUCAAUAACCUGCCAGCAGCAACAUAAUUUGCAGCAUUAUCAGUCACCAUAUGCACAAUGUUUUCUACCCCAACAUACAAAACAACCUCUCUAAACAACUGAUACAACAAUCUAGCAGUCUUUGAGACAUCUGAUACAUCCACCGUUUUCAAAAAAAUUGUUCCUUUAGGACAAUAUACUAAGAAGUUAAUUAAAGUCCUCCUCUUCUGAUCUGUCCAUCCAUCAGCCAUUAAUGUGCAACCAGUCUUCUUCCAAAUCUCCCGAUAACUCUCAACAUAAAUCUUCACUUCAUCAACCGCUUUUGCCAAGUAAUAACCACGGAUAGCAUGCAAGUUUGGUCCUUUAUAACCAGGACCCAUGGUUGUUACAGCAUCUAUGGCAUGCUGAUAAUACACAGAGUUAACAAUAUUAAAUGGAACACAUGCAUCAAACAUCCACUUCGCUAAAGCAAGAUCACACCGUUCAACUGCUUCUUUCCUUUGCCAACAAUUCUGAAGAGACUUUUGAGCACCAGGAGUUGUUCUCGGCAUGAAAUAUAUCCCUAAUGUUGCAGAUUUCUUCUGCUUUCCAUAGCUUGUAGUUGAUUGUUUUAUAGUACCGGUGCUUUGAAUCUUUUUCUUUUUUGCAACCUUCGGUGGUAACAUAUGUUUUUUAGUAUUGACAUCCUCAUCCUCCUCCUCCUCAUCAUCACCAUCAUCUUCUAAUUGCCUAAUCAUUAUCUCUUCAUGCUCCCUUUGUUGUGCAUUAAAGGGAUUGAAAUCUGCUUGUAUUUCUCUAAUUCUUUUUUUCGUUUCAACAUUUCCUUUAAGGUUCAAAAGCAUUUGAUGUCGAACAUCAGGAGGACAUUUGCGACAUUGUUCAACUUCUCCUUUAGCUCCAGCUAAAUGUUGCUUAAAUCGAUUAAUACCACCACCCGCAAAUACUUUAGCACAAUAUAAACAAAACUAAUUUAGUUUUUUUACAUCCAACACUAAGUUCAGGAGCUUCUCUACAAUGACCCCAUGCUAAAUCUGUUUUUCCUCUACUACCACUUGACAUGGAAAUUGAAGGUUGAGAUGAUUGGGCCGUUGAAGGAUCACUACUUGGAGUACUACCAUCAUGUGAAGACAUUUUCAAACCUGACAUAAUGCAAUAGAAUUGCAUAAGUUUCGAUCACUGAUGAAGAAAAAUAAACUUUAUGCAUGACAAAAAUAAUUCUGAAUUCAACACUCCAAUUUACCCUGACACUCCAAUCCAUCCAUACACUCCCAAAACACCAACUAAAAAUUACUCAAUUUUUUCCUCUACACUUUUCCUUCAACUAUUAACAAUUGAAUUGCUAAACCAAACUCUAAAUUACUCAAUUUUUUCCUCUACACUUUUGCAUGGUGAGCAUUGCCUUCUUUUUUCAUAACGUUUAAUUCCCUUUUGGUUCCUUAUAAUUUAUGUUCUUUUUCUUUCCUAACCGUCUUGAUUGUUGGAUUUUUCAUAUGUCUGGUAUAGAUUCUGUUAUCUUUCAAGACUAAUUACUUGAUUUUGGGUAUUCUAACAUGCUUAUUUCUUGUAAUAAAACUGUUGAUACUUUCGUAUAUUUCUGCCAUGUAAUUCCUAUCUGUAAAUUGCAUUUUGCAUAAUCCUAAACUAUUUCUGCCAUGUAAUUCCUAUCUGGUAUUCUAGCAUUCAAUCAUAGUUUUAUGUGUAGAUGUUAGCAUCUGUCUCUUGAAACUAUUUGAUAAUUUUGAGAAUUGAGAUACAUGAGCAGCAGAUUAAGGUAAAUAUGCAAUGUUGGCUGUGCUUUUUUGCUUGUUAUAACAUUUGAUAUUCACAAUCAAGCACAAAAUUGAUAUUCAACUCAGAAACAGUUAUAAUAGCCUAACCGAACAAACAAACUCGUCAAAUGAACAAAUCAGACGCCUUUAUUUCUCUAAAAUUCCUCUUCGUUAAUCACUAAUUACAAAAACAACACAAACAAACCUCGAAUAAUUAAGUUCAUAAAACAUGCUAGAAACAGAGACUAUGUUGUUUGUUUGCAUAGAAACAGAGACUGUUGCUCAAAAUCAAGAACUACCAAGAUGUUUCAGUGAGCCUUGAAAGAAGAAACCAUGCAACGGUUGAAUGAUUAUGUAACAGUUGUAUGAAUCGACAGAGAGUUCAUCAAGAAGUGAUGAAGAACACAGACGAAUUGAAUUGAUGAAGAAAAUACAGACACUGUAGCAGCAAUCGGGUUGGAGAAACAUACCUGAGGGCUGAGGUUUCUUCUUCUGCGAAAUCGAUUGAAGAACCCAGAAGUAUGAACUUGAAUCGCAGGAGUGAAGAAACACAGAAGUAUGACCUUGAAACUGAAAUUAAUGCCAGAACCCAGAAAUGAGAAAACGACGAAGAAUAAACAAAACAGAGAGUGAAAGAAGGAGAUUCAAACCUUUUUCGCAGAGAUCAAUGGUUAAUUCGUUCUUCUUCUGCUUCGUUCAAUUCGGGCGAGACAGAUUAGGUCUUCGUUCUUCGUUCGAUUGCUUCAUUCUUCUUCUGCUUCACUUUUCGGUGCGAUUGUAUAUUUUAGAGUCAUUAAACGGCGUCGUUUAAUGACAGGGGGAGUAAAAAAAAAUAGUGGCCGGGUGGACCGGGUCCCGGGUCGACCCACCGGGUGGACCGGGUUUGACCGGGCCAAUUCCCAAGCGGGUUUUGGCCUCCACCCGGACCGGUUCCAUGCCCGGGUCGACCCGCCAGGCCGGUCCGGGUUUAAAAACUAUGGUUAACAUGGUUUGACGAGUUAGCCCGGUUAAUUCUGGGUUAACCUAUUAAUUUGUUUUUUUCUUUUUAAUUAUCAAACUUUCACGAUGCGAAUUCAAGGUAUGACGGGUUAACCUGGUUUGAAUGGUUAACCCAAUCAAUUCAUUUUUUUUUCUUUUUCGUCAUUAGUUUUUUUUCUUCCUAUUGGUUUUUUUUCUUUGUUUUUUUUUUUAACUAAUCUAUUUAAUUAUCAAACUUUUAUGACACGACCUUGCAGCCAGACCCACGUCCAAUGCUAUUGGGUCUGGUAUUGUAGUCCAGACACUUUUAUGCUAAAGGUUAACCCAAGUUUAAUGUUAUUAUUAAUAUUAUAAAUAUUACUCUUGGAUCAGGCGUUACAACCAAACCUAAGACUCUUAGAUAUAACUUUGCAAAAAAACCUAAUACUUUUAGAUGUUGAUUAUUUUUUAAAUGCAAAAAUUAAUCAAUUCGCGGCAUCGCGCGUGGCAUGUAAGUAGUAAAUGACAAUGGCAGGUAAAGAACAAUCACCAUGCAAAUCCCUUGGUCAUGGCGGAGGUAGUGAAUCUCCUCGGAGCAUUGUCCAGCCCAUUUGUUUUCCGAGUGAUAUGGGCUCUAAAAAUGAAGGGCAUUCCAUAUGAGUUCAUAGAAGAAGAUGUUACCAACAAAAGUCCUCUGCUUCUGAAGAACAACCUUGUUCUUAAGAAGAUCCCAANNNNNNNNNNNNNNNNNNNNNNNNNNNNNNNNNNNNNNNNNNNNNNNNNNNNNNNNNNNNNNNNNNNNNNNNNNNNNNNNNNNNNNNNNNNNNNNNNNNNNNNNNNNNNNNNNNNNNNNNNNNNNNNNNNNNNNNNNNNNNNNNNNNNNNNNNNNNNNNNNNNNNNNNNNNNNNNNNNNNNNNNNNNNNNNNNNNNNNNNNNNNNNNNNNNNNNNNNNNNNNNNNNNNNNNNNNNNNNNNNNNNNNNNNNNNNNNNNNNNNNNNNNNNNNNNNNNNNNNNNNNNNNNNNNNNNNNNNNNNNNNNNNNNNNNNNNNNNNNNNNNNNNNNNNNNNNNNNNNNNNNNNNNNNNNNNNNUGAAAUGAAUUGUGUAUCUAUCCAUUCUAUGAAAUAGAAAAAACAAAUUGCAUGUUUAGCACAACACACAGUGCCAAAGGCCUUGACAUUGCAGCAGCCUAGACACAACAACAUUUUCCAAUUUAACUUUCACACACUUGUUUUAUUUAUUUAUUUCAUUUGGGUUAACAGCAACGCAGAUAUUAGCAAUAGAAAUGUAUUCACAAAACAAUAUCAAUAGCAAUCCUGUAAAGGAACAGACGUCAAGUAUCAAAAUCAGAAAUAUAAUCUUCUAUACAAUGAUCGGCAGAGAGUUCAUCAACACAUCAUGGUAACAGUUCAUCAUGGAAAACAACAACACAGACGAAUUUGAAUUGAUGAAGAAAAUACAGACACUGUAGCAGCAAUCGGGUUGGAGAAACAUACCUGAGGGCUGAGGUUUCUUCUUCUGCGAAAUCGAUGGCAGCAAGUGAAGAAACACAGAAGUGUGAACUUGAAUCGGGUUGAAACUUGAAACUGAAAUUGAUGCCAGAACCCAGAAAUGAGAAAACGGCGAAGAAUAAACAAACAGAGAGUGAAAGAAGGAGAUUCAAACCUUUUUCGCAGAGAUUAAUGGUUAAUUGCUUCAUUCUACUUCUGCUUCGUUCAAUUCGGGCGAGACAGAUUAGGUUUCGUUCUUCGUUUGUCUUCUGUCUUCGCUAAACAAAGAAGCAUGUUUUUAGAGUCAUUAAACGGCGUCGUUUAAUGACAGGGAGAGUUAAAAAAAAAGUGGUCGGGUGGACCGGGUCCCGGGUCGACCGGGUUUGACUGAAACAAUUCCCAAGUGGGUUUUGGCCUCCACCCGGACCGGUUCCAUGCCUGGGUCGGCCGGGUCCCGGGUCGACCCGUCGGGCCGGUCCGGGUUUAAAAACUAUGGGCGGAGCUGAGAUUAUUUGAUAGGAAGGGUCAUAACUGAUGUUAUAAGAUAUAAUUUUUUAUAUGUAAACCACACUAAUUUAUAAAAGCAAAAUUAACAUAUUAAAAAAAAAAUUAUUUAUAAAAACAAAUCUAACAUAAAAAAUUGAAUUAUUGGUUUCUAAAGAAUAAAACUUAAAUUGAAUUAAAGAUGGACAUGUGCUUUUCAAAACACUUAAUUUGGCUAGAAAGAUUGUGUCUAAUUGUAUAUUGGACCUAGUGAUAGUAAGGUACAUGUGAGGAAAAAAAUUAAUAAUUUUGACAGCUCUGCUAAAAAUAAAACAUAAAAAAAUAUAUGUCUAAUCGACAUAAACCCAUAAAAUAUAUUCAAUUCAUUAGAAAAAACAACAUUCACUAUAGCAAGAAAUAAAAAAAAAUGGGAAGACUAGUAGAUAUAGAAAAAAAAAAAAUAGCGCACGCGCACACCUUAGCAAAUUCUUAACAAACAUAAAAAAACAAACAAAAGAUUUUAAAUUUGAGUCACUAAUUACAUUGUUUCGAUAAACAAUGAAUUAAUUGAUAACUUUGCUUUAACUUUUCCGCAUUGCUUUGUAUUUUUUUAUUUUUUUUUGUUAGGACUCUGGAGAAUGAAAAUAGAAAAACAAUAAAGAAAGGUAACUUUUCCACAGUAAAACAUUGAUUCCUUAGGCGUUUUUUUUUUUUGUCAUAGUUUUUUUAUGCUUUUUGGGAUUUUUUUUGCUUCUUCCUUUGUUUUUUUUUCUUUUAACAAAAUGUUUUUGUUUAAUUUAGUUUAUUGAUGUUAAAUUUUUUUAUUUAGUUGUCAGACUUUCCUGACAUGUUUACCGGAUUUAACGGGUUAACCUGGUUUGACAAGUUAAAAUAGAAUAUUUAUUUUUGCUUUUUAUUCUUUUUAAUUAAUUUUUUUCGUUUAGUUUAGUUUGUUAAUGUUAAAUUUCUUUCUAUUAGUUAUUAGACUUUCAUGACACAUAUCCCGAGUUUCGCGGGUUAACCUGAUUUCACGGGUGAACCCAGUUAAUUCUGGGUUGACCCGUCAAUUUAUUUAUUUAUUUUUAUUUUCAUAAUUUUUUUUGUUUAAUUUAGUUUGUUAAUGUUAAAUUUUUUUUAUUUAGUUAUCAGACUUUCAUGACACGGAUCCUGGGUUUAACAUGGUUUGACGAGUUAACUUGGAUUUUUUUUUCUUUUUAAUUAAUUUUUUUUGUUUAGUUCAGUUUGUUAAUGUUCAUUUUUUUAUUAUUUAGUUACCAGACAUUCAUAACACGGAUCCGGGGUUUAACGGGUUAACUUGGUUUGACGAGUUAACCUGAAAAAAAAAAUUUUUGUUUUUUUUUCUUUUAAAUUAAUUUUUUUUGUUUAAUUUAAAUUGUUGAUGUUAAAUUUUUUUUAUUUAGUUAUCAAACUUUCAUGACACGGAUUCCGGGUUUGAUAGGUUAACAUGGUUUGACGAGUUAGCCCAGUUAAUUCUGGGUUAACCCAUUAAUUUGUUUUUUCCUUUUUAAUUAUCCAACUUUCACGAUGUGAAUUCAAGGUAUGACGAGUUAACCUGGUUUGAAGGGUUAACCCAAUCAAUUCAUUUUUUUUUCGUUUUCUUCAUUAGUUUUUUUCUUCCUGUUGGUUUUUUUUCUUUAUUUUUUUCUUUUUAACUAAUCUAUUUAAUUAUCACACUUUUAUGACACGACCUUGCAGCCAGACCCACGUCCAAUGUUAUUGGGUCUGGUAUUGCAAUCCAGACACUUUUAUGCUAAAGGUUAACCCAAGUUUAAUGUUAUUAUUAAUAUUAUAAAUAAUACUCUUGGAUCAGGCGUUACAACCAAACCUAAGACUCUUGGGUAUAACUUUGUAAAAAAACUUAACACUUUUAGAUCUUAAUUAUUUUUUAAAUGCAAAAAAUAAUUGACUCGCGCGGAGCAUGUAAGUAGUAAAUGACUAUGGCAGGUAAAGAACAAUCACCAUGCAAAUCCCUUGGUCAUGGCGGAGGUAGUGAAGCUGCUUUGAGCAUUCUCCAGCCCAUUUGUUUUCCGAGUGAUAUGGGCUCUAAAAAUGAAGGGCAUUCCAUAUGAGUUCAUAGAAGAAGAUGUUACCAACAAAAAGUCCUCUGCUUCUGAAGAAUAACCCUGUUCUUAAGAAGAUCCCAGUGCUUCUCCAUGGCGAAAAACCAGUUUGCGAGUCCAUGAUUAUUGUCGAAUACAUCGAUGAGAUAUGGCCCCAAAAUCCCUUGUUGCCCAAUGACCCUUACGAGAGAGCUCCGGCUCGUUUCUGGGUCAAAUUUACCGACGAUAAGGUAAAGAGUACAGGCAUCAUUUUACAUUACAUAAAUAUUACUAUGAAACCGAGUUCUGGGCUUUAAAAAAAAAUUGGUUUCUGCUGAUUUGGUUAGUUCAUGAUCGAUGAUGAAUCAUUAGGUUGACUUGCCGAGCUGUUCUGAUAAAAUUGAUUAAGGGAAAAAAAGUAAAUGGAAAGGAAUAUAAAAGAAAUACAACAGUGUUUAUACACCAUUCCGGAAUUUAAUAAAAUAGCAGCAUCAACCGACAACCAUUAUGGAGUGUUACAGUAGAAAAACAAGCUCAACUACAAGAGAAAAACCAUCCAUGGAAACGAAAAGGUGAGGCAUACAUGGAAUAUUUCGCAUCCAAAAGCAUAAUAUAGGCUACUCGUUCAUCAAUUUCUCCCUGAAACCUUUCAUAAAGAGUAGCAACUUAUCAUUAUCAGGAAUGUUUUCUUUAAUCAGAGGAACUUCAAUGAAAUUCUGAGCCCAAGCAUGCAAUCGAGGCAGUGUGCUUGGUUCCAGAACUUUCACACCCAUUGCUUCUUCCAUGGCUGCAAACCAACAAGUGAAGAGUCCAUAUGAGAUGUCAACUAGAUUUAUGCUGUCACCGCCAAAAAACUUCUUGUCCCCGAGACCUUGCUCUUCUAAGACUCUCAACACUUCCGCCACUUCUUUCACUGCCUUCUCUAGCUCCUCUCCACUAGCUCGGUAAAGGGCAACCAAGGCAGCACCCUAAAUAAUGAAAGAAUUCAAUUUACAUGUCACAGAACAGAGAUAAAUGAAUAGAUAUUUGAAGGUGUUUAGCCUGAGGAGAGUAAAAAGAAGGCAAGUUAUGAGAAAUUUUUAAUUAUUAUUCCACUUUAAGAACAAGAAGAAGAAAAUGUUUUUUGGAAUCGAUUGUUUUUUUCCAACUGCUACCAGAUCAAAUUAAACAUUGUGGGCCUCAUGAACAGUUACAAAAUAUAUACAAGAAGAUAUGGAUCUCGUUACCUU